rnacentral:ncRNA from 1 species
GGAUCCGGCGGGCCACGAACUCCCCCAAAGAACCUGGGGAAAAGAACCAACCCCCCUCCUCCCACCCACCCGUCGACCACCGUCACCCAAACGAGUGACGCGGUUGCAACGAGCGGGCACGGAGGGUUACGUUCGCCGCAAACAACCACACAAAGACUUCGGCCCCCGACAGGACGGCAAUCCUGACCGAGGGCCUGACCACUCAGGAAGAAACGGCUUCCCA